GGUGUCUCAUGGAGAGAUACAGCAGGUCUUUUCUUCCUGCAGUGAUUUCUCCCACUUUCCUCUGUCUGUCUCCCCGAUGUCACUUUUGUCCUUCAUCCGGUCUGAAUCCACGUCAUCGUCCCUGUCACUCUUCUUCAGGAGCUACAGCAGGCAAAGCAAGAACCAUCAAAUGACAAACAUGCUGAAACACCACCGCUUGAACAAGAAUAAACUCUUUAAAGUGAAACUUAA